AACUUUGUAGCUCAGCUGGUAGAGCAUUUGUCAUGUCCAGACAUGUUGUUUCUGUCGCUGGUUCGAAUCCAGCCGAAGUCC